UUAAAUUGAAGAGUUUGAUCAUGGCUCAGAUUGAACGCUGGCGGCAGGCCUAACACAUGCAAGUCGAGCGGAAACGAG
rnacentral:rRNA from 4 species